UACGAAGGGUGCGAGCGUUAUUCGGAAUCACUGGGCGUAAAGGGUGCGUAGACGGUACAUUAAGUUUGUUGUUAAAGACUCUGGCCUAACCGGAGGGUUGCAAUGAAAACUGGUGAGCUAGAGGGUGAGAGAGAGAAGUGGAAUUCCCGGAGUAGCGGUAAAAUGCGUGGAUCUCGGGAGGGAACACCAAUGGCGGAAGGCAGCUUACGUUGGCUC
rnacentral:rRNA from 1 species